AUGCGGGAUAAUCUGGUCAUUUCGGGUAUCCCGGAGCAGGCGGAUGAAACCCCAGAGGAGACCGUUAAAAGCUUCAUCCAAAAUCAACUGAAGCUCCCGGCCGAGACCGUAAAGAACAUCAGCUUCCACCGGUUUGUAUCACUGUGGGAAACGUUCGGUGGAGGAACCAGACUGGAUGUUGGAAGUGAUGUCCGUCCCACCCUGACGGUGCUGCCCCCCUCCAGUGAGGAGCUGCAGCAGGGGAAGGCCACGCUCAUGUGCCUGGCCAACAAGGGCUUCCCCUCAGACUGGAGUCUGGCCUGGAAGGUGGACGGCAGCAGCAGCAGCAGCAGCUGGGAGGAGAGCAGGAGCCCCGGGGUGCUGGAGAAGGACGGCCGCUACAGCUGGAGCAGCACCCUGAGGCUCCCUGCAGACCAGUGGAGGAAGGUGGGCUCUGUGACCUGUGAGGCCACCCAGGGCUCCCAGGCUCUGGUCUCAGAGACACUGAGGAGAGACCAGUGUUCCCAGUCCUGACCUGACUCACUGGGACUCUGCUACUGGUUUUACUCUGCUCUCUGAACUCUGUAACUCUCUCUGUGUCUGCGUCUCUUUAUUUCACUCAGUCAAUCUCUAAUCACAUGUUUCAUGAAUAAAGUGAUGUAAUUUUGAUUAUUUCUACAUAAUAAAGACCAGUUCAUCAAA